UACGAAGGGGGCUAGCGUUGUUCGGAUUUACUGGGCGUAAAGCGCACGUAGGCGGAUUGUUAAGUUAGGGGUGAAAUCCUGGAGCUCAACUCCAGAACUGCCUCUAAUACUGGCAAUCUAGAGUCCGGAAGAGGUGAGUGGAACUCCUAGUGUAGAGGUGGAAUUCGUAGAUAUUAGGAAGAACACCAGUGGCGAAGGCGGCUCACUGGUCCGGUACUGACGCUGAGGUGCGAAAGCGUGGGGAGCAAACAGG
rnacentral:rRNA from 1 species